rnacentral:rRNA from 1 species
UACGUAUGGUGCAAGCGUUAUCCGGAUUUACUGGGUGUAAAGGGAGCGUAGACGGUUAUGUAAUGUCGUGGAGUGAAAGCCCCGGGGCCCAACCCCGGGACUGCCUUUUGGAAACUGUGUAACUGGAGUACAGGGAGGGGCAGGCGGAAUUCCUGGUGUAGCGGUGAAAUGACGUAGAUAUACGGAGGAACACCAGUGGCGAAGGCGGAUUGCUGGACAGUAACUGACGCUGAGGCGCGAAAGCGUGGGGAGCAAACAGG